UGCCACGGACAACUUCAGACUUACUGAAGUA
rnacentral:piRNA from 1 species